rnacentral:pre_miRNA from 1 species
AAUCGUAGACACUGAUGAUGAUGAUGAUGAUGAUGAUGGCGAUUAUCCUCAUCAUCAUCAUCAUCAUCAUCAUCAUCAUCAUCAUCAUCAUCAUCA